GACGUCCAGAUGCUGACCACAGGCUGUGUUCUUACACUGACUAUAGAAAGAGAAGGCAGAGUAAAUCUACCCCAUAGACACCUCAGCCCAGACCCCAUACCUGGUCGGUAUUGUGAAGGGGAGGCAUGG